ACGCAACUCUUAAAUUUGGUAGUACUGAUUUUCAUAUUUGACAGCUAUGUCAAAAAAUUUGUAAAAGGGAGGACGGCGAUUUUAAUCACAAUAUUUUUGAUGUUUUGAUCUUGUUAUAUAUCGCUAUGGCUAAACAAUCCAUUGGAUUGCUGUAAAAAGAUACACAAGAUGAUACAAAAACCCCGGAUAAAGAAGUGUUAGAUGACGAAACUCUAGAGAAGUAUGUUAAAUUGAACAUAUGUUUUUUGGUAUUAUUAAAUAUAAUAUUAUAAAAUACGUAUUAAUAAAUACGCAGAUUAGCAGUUGAGGAGCUUAUACGAGAAGCAGUUCAGGGUGCAGCUAGAGCGGAAAUUGUUGGCCCUUCAGGUUGGGUAAAAGCCCCACAGCAGAAGACUAACAAACGGUUUCUUGUCAAU